rnacentral:rRNA from 1 species
UACGGAGGGAGCUAGCGUUGUUCGGAAUUACUGGGCGUAAAGCGCGCGUAGGCGGCUUUGUAAGUUAGAGGUGAAAGCCCGGGGCUCAACUCCGGAACUGCCUUUAAGACUGCAUCGCUUGAAUCCGGGAGAGGUGAGUGGAAUUCCGAGUGUAGAGGUGAAAUUCGUAGAUAUUCGGAGGAACACCAGUGGCGAAGGCGGCUCACUGGCUCGAUACUGACGCUGAGGUGCGAAAGCGUGGGGAGCAAACAGGA